CUAGAAGCUAUUGAAGGUUACUUGAAGCCACAGAAGGACUUCAAAGUGGAAGAUGAUUAGAUCAUGUGCCCUGAAGCGUGCAAAUCGAAUCCUCUGCAAACCAGUCCAAUGGCUUUAUCCAGAGCUCUAUGCUGUGUGAUGAUAAAAUGCCUGUGAGACUCAAACACCAGACAGAAUGAGGAAGUACUUGCAGCCUGCCUCUGAACCCAGCUCAGAGCUUCCUAAGGCAGCUUUACAGUCAGGCUUGGAGUCCAGUGGAAUGACAAGACCAGGGCCACUGCAUGCUGAGAGUCUGCAGUUCAGCAGGAGAGACUGGCAGUACUUUUGCAGGAAGUGGAGCAACAAGGUGGAGUCUGGGAAACAGAACCAAGCCUACAGGUCAAGGAGAGAAUAGAAAGCCGAGAGGUAAGUUUCUUUCUGUUACAGACUGGGCAAACCACAU